UACGUAGGGGGCUAGCGUUGUCCGGAAUCAUUGGGCGUAAAGAGCGUGUAGGCGGUCCGGUAAGUCCGCUGUGAAAGUCCAGGGCUCAACCCUGGGAUGCCGGUCGAUACUGCCGGACUAGAGUUCGGAAGAGGCGAGUGGAAUUCCCGGUGUAGCGGUGAAAUGCGCAGAUAUCGGGAGGAACACCUAUGGCGAAGGCAGCUCGCUGGGACGUUACUGACGCUGAGGUGCGAAAGCGUGGGGAGCAAACAGG
rnacentral:rRNA from 1 species